rnacentral:sRNA from 1 species
CAUUCGCUCGGCACGUUUCCUUCUUGCUGCCUUGUGAAGAAUGUGUCUUGCUUACCCUUCGCCUUCCACCAUGAUUGUGAGUUUCCUGAGGCCUCCCCAGCCAUGCUGAACUGCUAGUCAAAUGAAGCAGUGGGAUAUGCUGCAUUUUCAAAAAGCCUUCCCAGGAGACUGCAGUGUUUGUGCUGGGUCGAGAAUCACAAAAAACCAAGAGAAUAUUUAAUAUCUCUAUUGGAACGACUGAGAAUCGCAAAAGUAACAGGCGUAGCAUUUCCUUUCUUUAUGGAUAACUCUAACAUUGUGGCCAUGUUUGAGAUGAUGGACUCCUCAGGCAGAGGCACCAUAUCAUUUGUGCAGUAUAAAGAAGCCCUAAAAACCCUGGGUCUGUGCACUGAAGAUGAAGAUUUACAAGAUGAUGGACAUAUAAUAACUUUGGAUAAAUUCAAGGAGGAAGUGAACAAGAGGAUGAAGGAAAUAUGGUCAGCAUUUUAAUAACACCAUAAAUCCAAGAUAAUAAGUAAUUCUAUAAAGUUUUCCAGUUUCAUUAAUUCAGAAUUUCAUCAUAUAACUUGAAAUCCAAUUGGCUUCCAAAAAAACCUUUUUCUGAAAGACAUUAUUUUCCAGUAUUAGGCCAAUUUGUCCUCAAAUUAAGUAGAAUCUCAACAUCUUGUUGAGCCAGUUUGUAAAUUCCAACUUCAUUUAAUGCUGCUGUGGCAGGAAGCUGCCCUGAAGCUGACUGCAGUACAUCUUUCAGGAGUAGUGCAGAACCGACGUUCAAAUUCAAAACAAUACAGGCUUCUUUUAUACUGUUUAGGGAAAACAA